GUUUGCGGUGGCCGAGGUUGUGGCGGUCGAUGCGGGCGGCUUUAGCCCGCGCCGCGGCUGCGCGCCGGUGAUCCC
rnacentral:tRNA from 1 species